rnacentral:rRNA from 1 species
AGCAGCCGCGGUAAUUCCAGCUCCAAUAGCGUAUAUUAAAGUUGUUGCAGUUAAAAAGCUCGUAGUUGAAUUUCGGGGGUUAGUAGGCUGGUCAUGCCUCUGGUAUGUACUGAUCUUACUGGCUCCUCCUUCCUGAUGAACCGUAAUGCCAUUAAUUUGGUGUUGCGGGGAAACUGGACUGUUACUUUGAAAAAAUUAGAGUGUUAAAGCAGGCUAACGCUUGAAUACAUUAGCAUGGAAUAAUGAAAUAGGACGUUCGAUCUUAUUUUGUUGGUUUCUAAGAUUGACGUAAUGAUUAAUAGGGAUAGUUGGGGGCAUUAGUAUCCAAUUGUCAGAGGUGAAAUUCUUGGAUUUAUUGAAGACUAACUACUGCGAAAAGCAUUUGCCAAGGAUGUUUUCAUUAAUCAAGAACGAAGUUAGGGGAUCGAAGACGAUCAGAUACCGUCGUAGUCUUAACCAUAAAACUAUGCCGACUAGGGAUCGGAUGAUGUUAAUUUUUUUAAUGACUCAUUCGGCGCCU